UAGGUCAAAGGAAGAGGGUUUGCUUGUUUUUGAGAUUGGGGCAUCCUGAACGUUCUCCCAGGCCAAGUGAGAAGAAACCAGAAGAGGAACAUGUCACCCAAAUGUGCUGAAACAGCCCAGCAGCUGCGCUGCCUCACAGAAAAUGUGCAGAGGCCCCUCUGUCCCACCAUGCCUGCCUGGGGACGGCCUUCACUCGGGCUACUCAGGGUUUCCCCAGCCUGCCAACCCAAGGGUGGCAGGAGCUGUGGGUGCUCCCAGCCCCUUCUCAAGGUUGGUCUGUGGGUAGAAAUGUGGGCUGCCUCGGGGCGUCACAGCUACAAAUGCAUACCAGCCCUCAGAACCACAUUCCUGCUCCCCAGCCCUUUCCUCCGCACCCCCAUGCAGAAGCGCGGCCGCCAGCUCACAAAGGAUAGGGAGGGAUAUUGCUCUUGGCAUUUGAUGGGAAGCAUCUGCUGCAUCCCAUUGGGGUGUUGCCCAGGAUGGAUUGGAAAAGAGUUGGCAGGAAGGCUGAGCUCUGUGCUCACAACCUGGCUUGGUGGUGGCCGAGGAGCUUGGCAGGAGCAGAGUGCAGGACCUGGGAACUGGGGGUUGGUGCAUGUGUGCACGCACGUGUGUGUGUGUGUGCGUGCGUGCUGGGUGGGUAGGGAGGAAGCUGUGAAACCACAUCCCCUCCUCUCUGCUGCUGUGUUGCUGUGUGUUUCAGCAGCACGUGGGUGUCACCACACUUCCUAGCAGGUGUCAACCUCCAAGACUGUUCUGGGCUCUUCUCCCAGUUGGCUGAGUUGGAGGUGGGAGUCCCAACUGUCCCCUGUGGCUUCCAGAGUGGGACCUUGCUGUGGGAUAGGCUGGCCAAUGGUGCUCCCUCCCCUGUGACCCUUCUGUUGGGUGGGUCACGAGGAAGGACUGUGGGUGUUGCCCACAGACAGGUGGACAUGUGGCAAGGACACCUUGGGACCUUCUUUCUGACGCCCCUUGAAGGGGGCACUUUCUCAGCUUUGAGAUGAGUCUCUGUGGAUGUGGGAAGUUCACUAUCUCAAGAGCAGCAGCCUUGGAAAAUCCAACACAGAACCCCGAGUAGGGGCGGGAAGGGGUCCUGUCCCGCUCACUGGCUGCCUGGCAGAGUUCUGCACAAGGAAGCGCCUGUGUUGCUGUGGGCGGAGGAAUGGACUGAGGGCUACAUUCGCUUCCUGUUGCCGCUGUAACUGCUUAUCACAAACUCAGUGGCUUAAAGCAACAGAGGCUCCUUCCUUUACAGUGCUAAGGGUCAGAAGCCGAUCAGUCUCACCGGACUAAAGUCAAGGUGUUGGCAGAAUCCAUUCCUGCCUCUUCCAGCUUUGGGUGGGAGGCUCUGCUGGAGUUCCUUGGCUUGCGGCUGCAUCCCUCCAGCCUCUGCCUCCAUCCUCCUACAGCCUCCUCCUUCUCUGCAGUCAGAUCUCCCUCUGCCUUCCUCUUUUUUUUUUUUGAGACGGAGUCACCCAGGCUGGAGUGCAGUGGCACAAUCUUGGCUCACUGCAGCCUCCGCCUCCUGGGUUCAAGCGAUUCUCCUGCCUCAGCUUCCCGAGUAGCUGGGAUUACAGGCAUGUGCUACUACACCUGGCUAAUUUUUGUAUUUUUAGUAGAGACAGGGUUUUGCCAUGUUGGCCAGGCUGGUCUUGAACUCCUGACCUCAGGUGAUCUGCCUGCCUCAGCCUCCCAAAGUGCUGGGAUUGCAGCCAUGAGCCAUCACACCUGGCCUGCCUCCCUCUUAAAGGACGCUUGUGAUUUGGGGCCCACCUGGGUAAUCUCUUCAUCUCAACAUCUUCAGUUACAUCUACAGAGUCCCUGUUGCCACAUGAGGUAACACAGUUUGGGAAGGGAGAGUUAUUCAGCCUACCCUAGGGGCCUGUGGUGUAUCUCAGGGCCCUUCUGAUUUUAAGAUAUAAAGCAAGAAAACAAACUGGCUCAAGGGGAAAAAAGGACACGUUGAAUUCUGUUGCUUUAAAUGUAUAUUUUUUUAUUGUGCUAAAAUGCACAGAACAUAAAAUUUGCCAUUAGUAACACUGAGUACAUUCACAGUGUCGUGCAACCAUCAGCACUGUCUAGCGCCAGAACUUUUUCAUCACCCCAAAGGGAAACCCCGUAUCCAUGAAGGACUCACUCCCCAUUCGCCCUCUCCAGCCCUUGGCAGCCACCAGAAUGCUUUCUGUCUCCAUAAAUUCAUUUUUAAUAAGUGCAAUUCUGUGUGACUUUAAAAUAAAUAAACAUGAGCA